GCCGAUUUGACCUUCAGGCUGUCAGGAAUUUCAGUCCUGUCUGAAAACUGUGACCUACUGGCUUCAAACGUGACCUUUAAGGCGCGUUCGCUGCAUUCGGCACAAAGCAGAUCGGGUCUUACUCCCGUCACUUUAACCAGUAGAGCACCAGGCUGUUGCUCUGUGCUAAAAACAGCCGUGCCACUCGGGAAGCUCAAACUAUCCAAUGGGUACGCACUGCUGUACUGUUGCUAGGCCCUCCUCUCCUUUCCUCUCCUCUCCUCUCCUCUCUCUCUCUCUCUCUCUCCCUCCUGCUCUGGACGACAUAACACAGAAAAAUGGCUGAAUAAUAAAUUCUAACUCAAUAAACGAGGAGACAGCAGCUGCACUCAGACAGAAAGACCCUUGUCUGGUUUCAUUUUUUGAAAGCAGGAAAAGUGAAUCUGUGCCCACGUGCACACGCGCCAAGAACUCGCACACCAACGCAGCAGCAGUCUGGUUUCUAUUUUAGCACAAUUCUUCAAGUAGCGUUGGGAGUCCUGUCCAAACGAUGUUUUUCGGUUUCGUCCUGCAGUGUUCCGGUUCUGUGGUAGAACAGAUGACGACUGCAGUGAUGUUUAGGGAAGGCAACCGACUAACCCACAUCAGAGGGGCAGGGACAAACUGUCAGCACAGCACCUUUAUGACCUGAAUUAGACAUAGGUGCAAAGUAAAGCUACAAACUCUACAGCAACCAGAAGACACUCUGCUCCCAUCUGUCCAGCUGCCGAUGAAGACCACCAGUGAGACAUGCCUGGGAUAUCCUGUGUGAUGUCAGUGCAUUUUGGAGCUUCAUAGAUCCUUCUGUCCAUCCAUCAGUCAUCGAUCUUUGACUCUAAGAUUCCUGCUGAACUGGAACAUGCGAGAUCUAUGCAGGAGCUGUGGAGGUCUGGAGCAUGCUAAUGUGACGGAGGCCAGCAGGAGGCGCUCUGCGUGUGGUAGUCAAUGGGCCUCACUCCUCAACAGCCAAAGGAUGCUCUGGCCACUCAGUUCAGAGCAUCCUUUGGCUGUCGGGACAGAGCAUCCACCUCCCAUGCCGGAGAUCGUGGAUUUGUGUCCCGAUGGCAGAAGGCGGGAUGAGCCACAAUCAUAACGCAGAGCAGACCCGCUACACUAAGGACUUGUGGAAGCAUUGCGUGGACGGGGUCUUGGGGAGUGGAGGAGCUAUGAGUCUUUGUGAACACUUGGCUGUAUAUGUUUGCUUAACUGCAACAUUGAUGUCUUUGCAUGUGUGACAAUUCUUUGUUGUCCUUUGUUGUGUUAUUUUGUUAUUGUAGCAGAGCUAAAGCAGAUGGUCACCCUGCCGAGUCUAGUCUGCUUGAGGUUUCUUCAUAUAAUCGAAAAAAAACGCAUGAAGGCUUUUUCUUACCACUGUUGCCAAUGUGCUUGCUCAGGGAGGGUGAGCAAGGUUAGGCUUUACUUGUGUCAAGUCCCUUUAGGGCACGCUGUACAAAUAAAUUGAACUGAAUGUG